CAGAGGGUGCAAGCGUUGUUCGGAAUUACUGGGCGUAAAGCGCGCGCAGGCGGAUCCUGCAAGUCAGAAGUGAAAUCUCAUUGCUCAACGAUGAGGCUGCUUUUGAUACUGCGAAUCUGGAGACCGGUAGAGGCUGGUAGAAUUGCAGGUGUAGCGGUGGAAUGCGUAGAGAUCUGCAAGAAUACCCGUGGCGAAGGCGGCCAGCUGGGCCGGUUCUGACGCUGAGGCGCGAAAGCGUGGGGAGCAAACAGGAUUAGAUACCCUGGUAGUCCACGCCGUAAACGAUGGGCACUAGGUGCUGGGGGGAGCGACCCCGUCAGUGCCGUAGCAAACGCGAUAAGUGCCCCGCCUGGGGAGUACGGCCGCAAGGCUG
rnacentral:rRNA from 1 species